UGGGGAAUUUUGGACAAUGGGCGCAAGUCUGCUCCAGCCAUGCCGCGUGAGAGAUGAAGGCCCUAGGGUUGUAAAGCCCUUUCACCGGUGAAGAUAAUGACGGUAACCGGAGAAGAAGCCCCGGCUAACUCCGUGCCAGCAGCCGCGGUAAUACGAAGGGGGCUAGCGUUGUUCGGAUUUACUUGGCGUAAAGCGCACGUAGGCGGACUUUUAAGUCAGGGGUGAAAUCCCGGGGCUCAACCCCGGAACUGCCUUUGAUACUGGAAGUCUUGAGUAUGGUAGAGGUGAGUGGAAUUCCGAGUGUAGAGAUGAGAUUCGUCGAUAUUCGGAGGAACACCAGUGGCGAAGGCGGCUCACUUGACCAUUACUAACACUGAGAUGCGCAAGCGUGGGGGGCAAAAAGG
rnacentral:rRNA from 1 species